UCAUGGAUGUCAUUUCUACCAGAGGGCUCCUUUGGAAAGUUUGGAUAACAGCCCGUUAUGAAAGUCACCACACCAGGAGCGGUGGAAGAAGCCCCAGGGACUGGGUGAAUGACGGAGCCUCAGUUGUGAAACGACCAUUUAUUGAGGGGCCCUCCAUGGAGCCUAGAGCUCACUGCAAGACAGGAAAUGAGAGGGGGCUCUGCCACCACCCCCUUACCCCAACGCAGGAAAGAGGAUGCAAUGAAUCCCAACAAGACCAGCUCAAACUUGGCUUUGGAAGCACUGAAGCAAUUCUCUACGUUCAUAAACAGUCUGCUACCCCAGCCAGGGACAGACGCUUGCUUGGAGGACGAAGCACAAGCAGAGAAGCAGAAUGACAGAGUGACAGGAUGAGAGAGGCAGAGGGACCCAGAAAGAUCCUGUCCCCCAUGCCAAGUGACACAGAAGAAAAAAACAAUGCUG